UGGGGAAUAUUGGGCAAUGGGGCGAAAGCCUGACCCAGCAACGCCGCGUGAAGGAAGAAGGCCCUUCGGGUUGUAAACUUCUUUUACCAGGGACGAAGGACGUGACGGUACCUGGAGAAAAAGACAACGGCUAACUACGUGCCAGCAGCCGCGGUAAUACGUAGGUUGCAAGCGUUGUCCGGAUUUACUGGGUGUAAAGGGCGUGUAGGCGGAGAUGCAAGUUGGGAGUGGAAUGCAGGGGCUCAACCCCUGAACUGCUCUCAAAACUGUAUCCCUUGAGUAUCGGAGAGGCAAGCGGAAUUCCUAGUGUAGCGGUGAAAUGCGUAGAUAUUAGGAGGAACACCAGUGGCGAAGGCGGCCUACUGGGCACCAACUGACGCUGAGGCUCGAAAGUAUGGGUAGCAAACAGGAUUAGAUACCCUGGUAGU
rnacentral:rRNA from 1 species